UACGUAGGGACCGAGCGUUGUCCGGAAUCAUUGGGCGUAAAGAGCGUGUAGGCGGCUGACCAAGUCCUGCGUGAAAUCUUGCGGCUCAACCGCAAGCGGUCGUGGGAAACUGGUCGGCUAGAGUGCGGGAGAGGAGAGUGGAAUUCCCGGUGUAGCGGUGAAAUGCGCAGAUAUCGGGAAGAACACCCGUGGCGAAGGCGGCUCUCUGGGACGGUACUGACGCUGAGACGCGAAAGCGUGGGGAGCGAACAGG
rnacentral:rRNA from 1 species